rnacentral:lncRNA from 13 species
AUGCCAGACUUCCUCACUUACACUUCUACAAUGAACAUUUUAUGGUUUCUACUCAUUCUCACAGGGACCUGGGCUGAAGUUCCGUCAAUAGACAAGUAUGGGCUGAAGGGAGGUUUGGUGUGUCUGGCCGUUGCUGAAUCCCCUGGGGAGCAUAAAGAACUUAAAUGGAAAUUCAAAAGUGAUGUAAUAGUUGAUAAUAAAGAGAUCUCCCCUCAAUACAAGGAGAAGGUGCAAUAUAACCCGGUGAACCACUCUCUGUGCAUUAAGAAUCUGAAGGAAACGGACAGUGGAAUUUACUAUCCGACUGUUGGAAAAUGGAAUUUAGAAACUAUUAUUGAGUACAAAGUAACAAUACAGGAAGCUGUUUCCAUACCAGUCAUGAAGGUGGUGUCUCUCUACUCCAACUCAAGUAGGGGACAAUGUAACAUCACAGUGAACUGUUCUGUUAAAGACGUCUGGGCACUGUCUGUCUGUAACGGGCGUCAGUGCACACUGUCACAACAGUCACUCACCGUAGUCAAUAUCACCAUCUCCAAUGACAACAGCACUAUCCAGUGCACAGGCAAAAAUCACGUCAGUGCAGAGACCAACUCACAACCCAUGAAGGACAUGUGCAUUGUCAAGGGUGGGAAAGCUUCAGAAUACCCAGUUGGCAUCAUUGUGGGCAGUGUUACUGGAUUGCUACUCAUUAUUGUGUUUGUUGGAAUACGACGCAUCAAAUCAACCAGAAGAAGGGCCCGUAAAAACGAGCUGCCACUGCAGGUCAACCCAGUGAGCGCUCCACAAGGGGAGAGACCGGGACCACAAAACACAGGGGCUUCUGACGUAACAACCAUCUACGUCACUGUAGGGAAACCAGGAGCUGCAGGAGUGGAGCUCCCGUCACCAGAAGAGAUGCCAGAGUCACAGUCAGCGGCAAUCUACAGCACUGUGCAGCAACCAGCUGCAGAAGAGUCUCACCUAGGGGACAAAGUGGGCGCUACAAAAGAAGACAGACCAGGGCCGCAGAGCCCUACAUCGAUCUACAGCACUGUACAGAAACCAGCAGCAGCACAGUGUUGCCCAGUGGACAAACACAGGAAUAAUCUCAACAAACCAGACAGAGCUGCUCAAUAGGAGAUAAACUACCCCUCCGUCCCUCUCACAGUUACCCUGCUAUUACAUUGACUAAGACUUGACCCCUAGACUCAGAUAGCGAAAAGCAAAACACGGGAAAUUGUGAACGAGGAAGAAUGAGGGGAAAUUGAAUAUAAAAAAAAAACAUUUACUUAUUUUGCUUAAUUAAUCAUUCCACCUGUACAUGCUUUAUUAAAAAUACAUGUAUACAAAACAGCUGAAUUAAAAAACAAAUGGGAAUCCCGUGUUUGAUCCCAUCUUCAACAAACUGAAAAGAAGGUUGAGAUGACAGGCUCAACCAAACAAUAGCAAUAAAAAGACACGGACAACCAAUCAACUGUAUAUCAUAUUUUUUUGGUUAUCUUUUUUGUAAUAAGUACCAUAUCUAAUUGGCUAAAAUUCACUAAAUGUAAAUCGCUGGUAAAUGACUGAAAUGUCCAAUGUCAAUGAUCGAUGAGAAAGCGCAUUUACAAAUAUCAAUAGAAAAGUUUCAAUCAAUUUCUGUAGGAUCUGUUACAUCUAGCUGGCUAUGUGGUAGAACUACAUAGGUACUAUACAGGUAUGACAGAUUCAAUGAAACUAAUGUUCUAUGACUGAAUGGAAUUUCUUUGAAUUGCACUUAAUUCAAUUCUACUCCCUGCCACUCAAACUCAAAUUAUACAUCAUGUGGGGUGUGGCCAAUUCAAUUAGAAUUUCAACUCAUGAGUUGAAUGGCAGUCAAUUCCAAAGUUCAGAAUUGAGCCCAACCCUGGUGAGAAUGUGUUUGUUAUUGUGUAUUUGAAUAAAUGCUUUUGAGUGUACAAUGUAUACAUGCUUUUAAGCGUGUGUAUGUGUGUGUGUACUGUAAAUUAGCCUUAAACAUGUCCUUACUUGAUGCUGUCAUUAAGAUUUGUAUUGUCAAUCCAGACCCACUGUCCGUCUUACGUCGCUUCUGUCAGUCCAAUCCAGGGGAGUGUCUGCAACCCUUCUCCUCGGUGAUGUAGUCAAGUCACUUAACCACGAGCCUGAGUCGAGUCCCAAGUCCCUAGUGUUUGAGGUCCGAGUCCUUUAUUCUCAAGUCGAGUCAUGGAUGCAGAUGUCCUCCGUCACGGAUGCAAGCGUAUCGACUUUGUUCGUUGCUGGAGAAGUAGUAGCAUGAUCCACUGUGAAACUCCAAGACAGGAUAACAUUGUGCCUUCCCUCACUCUUCUCCGGAAGCAAUCUAAAUGGAAUUACUCACAGUACUAUAUCCUGAUAUGUUCAUGUUAAAUGUGUGUGUUCCCGUUUAGGAGUGCACGAGAGUUGUGGACAAAAAUCCCCCCCUCCCCCAAAAAAUAUAAAAAAGAUUUUUACAUGACCCUCUGCUUGUACUGUACACAUUUUGUUUGACCCUUUAACCCUCAUAAUAUACAAAAAAAAAAGAUUACUGUACCACCACAAAUAACAAUAACUGUAGCAACCCUGCGUUUAUAAACAUGGAUAUCGACAUAAACACUUUAACAUGGUUUUGUGGCAUAGUCGAUGCCACGCAGGGCUAUGGGCCAGAAGGUUGAGGGUUUGUCGCCCGACAACCCAAAGGACGCGAGUUUGAAUCUCAUCAUGGACAACUUUGUCAUUUUAGUUAAUUAGCAACUUUUCAACUACUUACCACUUUGCAACUACUUAGCAUGAUGACUAACUCAAAACCUAACCUUAACCCUUUUAGCUAAACCUUCCUCUAACCCUAACCUUAACCCUUUAACCUAGAAUUCAUAACAUAUCAAUUUGCAAAUUCAGAUCAUAUUGUACAUUUUUCAAAUUCAUAACAUAUACUGAACAAAAAUAUAAAUCCGACAUGCAACAAUUUUCAGUUACAGUUCAUAUAAGGAAAUCAGUCAAUUGAAAUAAAUGAUUGAGGCCCUAAUCGAUUGACAUGACUGGGAAUACAGAUAUACAUCUUGUCAAAGAUACCUUCAAAAAAGGUAGGGGAAUGGAUCAGAAAACCAGUCAGUAUCUGAUAUGACCACCAUUUGCCUCACGCAUAGAGUUGAUCAGGCUGUUGAUUUUGACCUGUGGAAUGUCGUCCCACUCCUCUUCAACGGCUGUGCAAAGUUUCUGGAUGUUGGUGGGAACUGGAACACGCUGUCGUACACGUUGAUCCAGAGCAUCCCAAACAUGCUAAAUGGGUUACGUGUGGUAAGUAUGCAGGCCAUGGAAGAACUGUGACAUUAUUAGCUUCCAAGAAUUGUGUACAGAUCCUUGCGACAUGGGGCUGUACAUUAUUAUGCUGAAACAUGAGGUGAUGGCGGUGGAUGAAUGGCAUUGUAUUGGGCCUCAGGAUCUCGUCACGGUAUCUCUGUGCAUUCAAAUUGCCAUCGAUGAAAUGCAGUUGUGUAAGUUGUCCGUAGCUUAUGCCUGCCCGUACCAUAACCCCACCACCACGGAGCGCUCACUUCACAAUUAAAAUUGUGCAGCAAUCUGCUCACCCACACAAUGCCAUACACACUGUACUGGGCCAUCUGCCAUAAAAGGUAAUACAUUUAAAAAAAUUAAAUGACAGAUGCGCACAGUGCCUUUAGAAAGUAUUCACACCCCUUGAUUUUUCCCACACUUUGUUGUUACAGCAUGCAUUUAAAAUGGAUUAAAUGUAUAUAUUUUGUGUCACUGGCCUACACACAAUAACCCAUAAUGUCAAUGUUUUUUGCAUUUGUUUUACAAAUUAAUAAAAAAUGAAAACCUGAA